rnacentral:rRNA from 1 species
GAUGAACGCUAGCGGCAGGCUUAAUACAUGCAAGUCGAGGGGUAGCAAGAUUGUAGCAAUACAAUUGUUGACGACCGGCAAACGGGUGCGGAACACGUACACAACCUUCCUACAAGUGGGGAAUAGCCCAGAGAAAUUUGGAUUAAUACCCCGUAACAUAAUGAUGUGGCAUCACAUUAUUAUUAUAGCUUCGGCGCUUAUUGAUGGGUGUGCGGCUGAUUAGAUAGUUGGCGGGGUAACGGCCCACCAAGUCGACGACCAGUAGCUGGAUUGAGAGCAUGAUCAGCCACACGGGCACUGAGACACGGGCCCGGCUCCUACGGGAGGCAGCAGUAAGGAAUAUUGGUCAAUGGACGCAAGUCUGAACCAGCCAUGCCGCGUGAAGGAUUAAGGUCCUCUGGAUUGUAAACUUCUUUUAUCUGGGACGAAAAAAGGCGAUUCUUCGUCACUUGACGGUACCAGAUGAAUAAGCACCGGCUAACUCCGUGCCAGCCGCCGCGGUAACAC